GAUGAACGCUGGCGGCGUGCUUAACACAUGCAAGUCGAACGGAAAGGCUCCUGCUUGCAGGGGUACUCGAGUGGCGAACGGGUGAGUAACACGUGGGUGAUCUGCCCUGCACUUCGGGAUAAGCCUGGGAAGCUGGGCCUAAUACCGGAUAGGACGAUGGUUUGGAUGCCAUUGUGGAAAGUUUUUUCGGUGUGGGAUGAGCUCGCGGCCUAUCAGCUUUUUGGUGGGGUAAUGGCCUACCAAGGCGUCGACGGGUAGCCGGCCUGAGAGGGUGUACGGCCACAUUGGGACUGAGAUACGGCACAGACUCCUACGGGAGGCAGCAGUGGGGAAUAUUGCACAAUGGGCGCAAGCCUGAUGCAGCGACGCCGCGUGGGGGAUGACGGCCUUCGGGUUGUAAACUCCUUUCGCUAGAGACGAAGCGCAAGUGACGGUACCUGGAGAAGAAGCACCGGCUAACUACGUG
rnacentral:rRNA from 1 species